rnacentral:misc_RNA from 1 species
UCUCCGUUGGUGAACCAGCGGAGGGAUCAUUACUGGAAUCGCAAGAUCCCACAACCCCUGUGAACCUACCGAAACGUUGCCUCGGCGGGCGCCCGGCCCUGCGCCGGGGGCUGAGCCCGCCGGCGGCCCCCUACUCUUGUCUCUGCAGCGUGGCAUCUCAGAGUCCCAGAAAACAAGUAAAAACUUUCAACAACGGAUCUCUUGGCUCUA